GCUAUUACUGUGAGUGGUCUAUAAUUAAGCUCAAUGAGACAUCUAGGGAGUCCAUACAUAUCAGGGAGCAAUUGUAGUUUGCUUAUUUAUAGCAUUUGGGGGGGGGACAAGUGGUGGACACAUUUGGAUCACAUUUAUACAGUUAUAAAAAUUAAAGAUUUGAUUUUGGUCAUUCUUCAGACUUUGGACUAUGAAUGGCUUAUACUGAAGUAAUUGGUUACUUUUAGGAUGUUACACCAUUUAAUAACUUAGACUUCUUAAGUUUGGUAGAUUGUUAGAUACUGAAGACUUGAAGAAUGCAAUCAAUUAUAAUGACCUUACUCAUCUAUUAAGAAGUGAAGUAUUUUCAAAGUUGUAUCUCCAGUCCAUUGAGAUUGGCAACUGACAAUUCUUGUCAUUCUAAGGAAAUUUGAUGAUUUAUUGACAGUGUGACAUCCUCAUGAGAAGUAAAAAUGAUCUAUGCAUCCUAUGGUUUAAGAGCAAAUUUUGAAACUUGGAGUUGUGGUUUUUCAGUUUGUGUACACUCCUCCCAAAUUGUAGUCUUUUGAGUCAUGUGCAUUUCAUGUUGGUAAGGCAGGGAAGUAACAAAUAAGUAUUUUGUGUGUAUUUAGUGGUUGCUUUGUUUUGAGAGAAAAGCUUUGAGGUG
rnacentral:lncRNA from 1 species